ACAGCAGCACCUGUGUGUUGGUGUGGGAUAAAUGAGCGGUGCUGUGAUACUCUGCUGGAUCCGAUCUCUCCGCUGGGACCCUCAGGACUGACGCAGCGACCUCUCUUAAGCCACCAGCUCUCUGCCAGAAAUAAUUUUUCUGAGAGUCCAGUGAUCUUGAAACUAAUGUAUGGUGACUUUGUGUGCAGAACAUGCUGGUGGUUUACCGUCUGACAUGGUGCUAAAGGAGGAACACACGCUUGUCUCUGUAGUGAGCUUCCUGUAGCGUGUGCUCCUCUCAUCCAUAGCAGCACUAUCUGAGAUUCC
ensembl:lncRNA